UACUUUUUGUUUUUUAAAGAAGCUAUAGAGAAACCGUUCAAUCAGCUUUGAGAAAAAACCACCUCUCUCUGGGAAGCAAAUGCUGGGAUAUGUAAGGGUUAAGUAGAGACCUGGGAAACCGCUGGUGUGCUGGCAUAGUAUGAGUGGUUAGAAGCACGGGCAGGCACCGUUUCUGGGCUUGAUAGAUAAAGUGCUACCCCUCUCCCUUCCCUUCUGCUUGUUAAGGAUUGAUAAGCACUGGAGCUGCAUAAGGAAUGUGGGGGUCUAAAGGAUACUCCCUUCCCUGGGAACUGCUGAGUAAGGGAACUUAUGGCUACAAUUACUGCAAAGAAAUGUAUCUUCAAGCAGGAGCAAGAGCUGUCACUGCAUUUCCCAGAGGGGACGGAGCCGCUCACCCACAACUGAAGCACGGAGAGCUGUGGGGUGGAUUGCGCCAGCCAGCAAUGCGAGAGCAAGGAAACGGGGGAAUAAGUUCUGCCAUUGUCCUGCAUGAAGAAAGGAAUCCCCAGAGUUGGAAGCUAGUCAGGACACAGGGCUCCCUCUCCUGUGUGGCCCCUCUGAACACACUAACGAUACUUCACUGCUAACUCAGCCAAACUCUUUCUGAGGGGGCCUGCUAAGGCUGACAUCGGACUGAGCGUAUCCACUGGGAACCUUAAAGGAGUGGGCCAGGAACGACUCUAUUGAAAGAGCUUUGAACCCCAACCGCCGAGGAGCUGAACUGUGCUCUAGGGGAUGUCGCACACCAGAUGUUACCCAUCGGGCAGAUGUUGGCCGUGGCGGGUUUCCGUUCUCUCUAGCAAGACCAGCUCUAGAGUAGGACUUUGUAUUACGAUCUGUCCGAGAGUCGAUGUCCUCAUGCAGGAUUCAGCAGGGAUUGCUACUGUUAAACCUGGCAUGUCACAGUGACACACUUGGCAAUGCCUUUGUUUGGCCCAGGCCGGAUUUACGCAUCUUAAUUCUUCCUCCUCAGCCAGGGCCUGUGGAUGGAUUGGGCUCUGUGCAGUUCGUGGUGGCUCUGACAUGCAGCAUUGCUCAAAGCACAGAGCAUUAUGCAGACCGCAGGUGAGAGAUUACACCUGCUCUCUCUACACAAAACAUCUCCCAGAUAGUAUGUUCUCUCCUCCCUUUUUCUUCUGUGCAGCUGUUGAACGUAUUCUGCUUCUGCCUCCAGCAUGCUGAAGACAACCUGGUUCCUUUUCCUCAGUGACCCAUUCAUUAUACAGAGAUAACCUCAGCUCUCUUGCCUAAGCCAAUGGGAAACCAAAGCAAUCUAACUCAGCUCCUUCAGCUGUCAGUCCCGGUGCACGUCCCAUUGUCUCAGGACAGAGCAGCUGACACAGAACUCAACUCUUGUGAAAAACAAGGAUCCGUAGCACUUCCCGUUUUCAAUGAGUGCAUGAACACACAGUUGCUGCUGAGAGAUUUCACUGAAUGGCUCCUCUGUGCACAACAGACCCUUUGCACAUUUGGAUUUCUUCCUGUGGCAGGGAGUUGACUGACAUUUUUCUAGUUAGAUACCAGGCCCCCACCCUUACUGCAGGGAGCAGAGCCGUAAGGAAACUUUUUUACGCUUGGAACGUGGGUGGGAUUGAUGUAAGCCCUGGAGCCAUCCAAAAACUAGGGGAAACCUUAGGUAUGAGAAGCACCUUAUAGCAAAUCAGGGAAGCUGAUUCCUCUAUUUAUUUGCUCUUCAAGGCCUGGGCUAUUUGUUCAUCACCUGGCCUCACGCUCCCCCGUGUGGGACACUGGAAGUUGUUUCUGGAUAAGUAAGAAGAGGACUGGGGGAUGGGUAGGUGAGCUGAGAAACUCCUAAAUCUGGUCCCAUGCAGAAAAGGCCUAAUGUAGGCGACCCAGGCUAGGCAAGAGGGGGGCCAAGAGUCUCCUUAUAUUCUCCCGCUCAUUCCUCCACUCUCCCCAGGCCUCUGAAAGCCCUGCUCCCGAGAGAAAGAGCACCCUUAGGGGCGACUCUGAAUGCUUAGCUGCAGAGAGCUCUGUCAAGGAGCCCCUCCGUCGGGAACAUUGCCGGGCACUGCCCAGGCCUGCAGGCGCUCAUCAGAGUGACCAAAAUCCCAUGGCAGGUCCAGUGAAUCCAUUGACAGCCCUGCCCUCCCUGACACAGGAACGUGCUCCCUGGUUGGACAGUCACCGACACCAAGUGCUCUAAACCCAGCAAAAGUGCCUGCAAUCACCACGCAGCCAGUUGUGGAGGGGGGACUGGGCAUAUACCCCCGCUUCCUUUGCAUCCUGUCCCGUUACCGUCAGUACACCGCCAGCUUCCUCUGAGCAUGGGUCAUCCAAGAACGGUGCUCACCUGUUCAGGAAUAUGCUGCUGACGUCAUCGUGGGUGAUGGGAGGUUUCUUGGAGCUCGCUGCCAUCCUCAGCGGGCGAAGGAAGUUGUUGACCAGAAUGUGCAGCUGUUGAACGUAUUCUGCUUCUGCCUCCAGCAUGCUGAAGACAACCUGGUUCCUUUUCCUCAUGCUGUCAGCGUGAGGAGACCGGAUAUAGUCCUGAAUGAUCGUCUUCCAUUUUCUCCUGCAUAGCCAGCCCCGUAGAAAGCUCUGGACCUGUUAACAGAUUGACAGUCUCAUUAGGGGUUUUACAUGAUAGCCUGGGCUAGCAUUUAUGCAGCAGUUUAGGUGCAAAGACCAAAAAAGCUCUUCUAUUAACAGACCAUUGUGUGGCAGUUCUACCUCAAUACAUUUGUACAGCGGGUGUGCUAAUGAUGUUCAUGGGGCUUUGCGCUGAACCGUGCAUAACGGUUUCUGUUAUCUGUACUUCGGUACAUCCUCGCUGCAGGGAAAUGAACGAUAACUCAUUUAAAUGCACUUUCUUGUUGCAUACGAUCGCCUCUUUCUCCUUUUACAGAGAUGAAUGUAAGUCUCACUAUUAAAUGAAAAGAAAACCCCAUUAACAUUUGCCUCUUCCACUGCACAUGUAAAAAGUACAGCGCCCUAUACUGUCAGCAGGACUGUGAGGGUAUGAAAAUACCCAACCAACCCAGUACCUAACACAUAUCUGUCCAUCUGUCCAUCUACCAAUUAAUUGAUCAACCAGUAGGUUUGUGCACACACAGAGACAGAUUUGCUAAGUUAAAAACAAAAAGCUUUUGGAAUAUACCCAAAUCUGUAUCUAGAUCUAGCCACAGACAGAUAUAUGCAGCCAGCCCCGCACACCCACUUAAACCUGAAAGUGCAAUGUUUUAAGUCUGAAAUCUCCUACACAACAAACAAAGGCAUCCCAACAACUCAACAGCUCUGAACUGGGGGGGCAUAGCCAGGACUCCUUCUCCUGCACAUGUGUCACUCUAACUGCAGUCAGUGGGAGUUCUCCCUGGAGGUGGAGUAACUGCAGGACCAGGUUUCUGUGCAGGUGAAACUGACCCCAAGAAGAGAUGGUGAUGAUUUUGUGUGCAAGAAGUAGUUAGCCCAAGAUGCUCUCCUGCAAUGGUCAGAUUUAACUCCUUUUCUGCUGGUAGCUUUAGAAACGUUAGAGCAGGCUGUAUAAAAAACAGUGAUUGCUUUAAAGGGCUAUUUGUUCUCUGCAAGGAAUAAUCCAUUCUAACACAAUUUCCUUGCAGCAUCUCGAAGUCUGUAAAUCUCUGCCUGUAGGGAAUCCUGCUUUUCACAGGUCCCCACUGCACUGUUGUGGCAAGAUUUAAGACGGGGCUAUUCAUCUAGGUGCUGGCACCAUUAGGGCAGUGAGGUGCCCACGCCAACAGCAGAAGGGGUCAGUACUGAAGAAGACAGAGACAAUUAACAUAAAGCUUUGCAGAGCAGUGGUGCACAUUCUCCUUCAUGAAUUCAUGGAGCGGGGGCGGCUCGUCGAACAGCCCAGCCCAGUCAACACCGUAACGGGUAGCAAAGACCAAGCUUCACUCCCUGAAAUAAAUUUCAAGUCAAGUGUUCACGUCACGGCUCCUUAAAGGCCAUUAGCACGUACCCAGUGCCAGGGUUUAGUCACAACUUCUGUGAACGUCUUUAACACGACAAAACAAACCUUUUUGAUUUUCCUGAUAUCGCUGUCCUCGUCACUUGGCGCACUGCUCUGAGUGGACUGGAUGCGCUCGUUAUCUUUCAGCAAGGAGGCAAUCUAUAAACACACAGGAAAACACGCUGACCAACAGGUCCAACACCGGCACUGCCAGACAUCUCCGUACACAAGCGCGGGAAGUGAAGACACGUGUGAGCUAAGUCCUGUCCCCAGUUACAUGCAGGCACCAGCCAGUAACUCCAAGGGUCAGAAGUGAAUCGUGAUAAAGUCAUUCGACUCCCGGGCAGUGCUGAGUUCUAGCCCUGAUUCCAUUUUAAAUUACAAUGUAACAGAUCGUGCUGAUUCUGCCUCUAAUGAGAAAGCACUACGGAUGCACUGAUGAAAAGACGACAAGAGUAUCGUAAAGAUCAACAAAAUAAACCAGUUGUAUGUAUUAGAAUGUAUUUGAAAUAUGGGUUGAACACAUUUUAUCCAAGAUAUUUUAAAAAAUGGGAAAUAGCAUGUAACAGUUCUGGGCUAGAAACGUUGCCAGAUACCAAAUGCAAAACUGGGCACCUGCUCUAUGAUAAAGUCUCCAGACAGAGCUUCUCAAGAAAUAGGGUGGGAAGAAAUUGCAGAAAAUUCUCAAGUCACUUUCAUCCUGCAUCUUUCAAAAAUGAACAAGUUUUCAUUUAUUCACCAUUUUGCAUGAACAUUUAUAUGGAACAUUUUAGGCUAUUAAAUUUUCAUUGUCAAAA